GGAAGGAGAGGUCGGGCGGUCCCGGGAGCGCGGAGAGCCGGACUCCCAGGCGGCAGCGGUAGCGGCGGCGAGGACGGCGGCGGCGGCGACGGCAGAGAGUUCAUAUGGGAAGGACAUUGGGGUGAGCAUCUUCUCUAUUUGCAGCUGGCUUUUCUGAUUCACCCUACCAUUUAAAACCUGGAGGCACUGGCCCACACAAAGCCUUGCUGAACUUGGGAGGGAAGCAUGACAACUGCCACAAGUUCAAGGCCAGCCUGAACCAGCACACUCCUACCUGUCUGGCCAUCAACAAAUUAUCCACAGUCACUGUUCUAAUAAAAACCUGGGAAGAUCCGUCUCCCA
rnacentral:lncRNA from 1 species